rnacentral:rRNA from 1 species
ACUCAAAUGAAUUGACGGGGGCCCGCACAAGCGGUGGAACAUGUGGUUUAAUUCGAAGCAACGCGAAGAACCUUACCAGGACUUGACAUCUACGGAACCCUGCGGAAACGCGGGGGUGCCUUUCGGGGAGCCGUAAGACAGGUGGUGCAUGGUUGUCGUCAGCUCGUGUCGUGAGAUGUUGGGUUAAGUCCCGCAACGAGCGCAACCCUCGUUGUUAGUUGCUGCUUGAAGCACGCUUCAAGUGAGCUCUCUAGCGAGACUGCCGGUGACAAACCGGAGGAAGGUGGGGAUGACGUCAAAUCAUCAUGCCCCUUAUGUUCUGGGCUACACACGUGUUACAAUGGGUGGGACAACGAGCAGCCAGCUGGCAACAGCGAGCAAAUCUCUUAAACCCAUCCUCAGUUCGGAUCGAAGUCUGCAACUCGACUUCGUGAAGUCGGAAUCGCUAGUAACCGCAGAUCAGCACGCUGCGGUGAAUACGUUCCCGGGCCUUGCACACACCGCCCGU